rnacentral:tRNA from 1 species
GCCUUCGUGGCCUAACGGAUAAGGCGUCGGCUUUCUUAGCCGAAGAUUGCGGGUUCGAAUCCCGUCGGAGGUA